AGAUCAACUUUCCGUCUGUGCCAACGUUCGCCGCGAUUACCGUUCUGCUGUGUACCUGUUUUAAGAAGAAACAACAAGGAAGUGAAACCAAAGACGGGCAGCCCGGCGCCAGGCCCGAAACCAGGCCUGGGCCUGCCUGGCCUAAACCCAGUUUCAUGUGUGUGAAGAGACCACCAAACGUGUGUGAAGAGACCACCAAACAGGCUUUGUGUGAGCAACAUGGCUGUUUAUUUCACCUGGGUGCAGGCGGGCUGAGUCCGAAAAGAGAGUAAGCAAAGGGUGGUGGAUUAUCAUUAGUUCUUACAGGUUUUGGGAUAGGCGGUGAAGUUAAGAGCAAUGUUUUGCGGGCAGGGGUGGAUCUCACGAAGUACAUUCUCAAGGGUAGGGAGAAUUACAAAGAACCUUCUUAAGGUUGGGGGAGAUUACAAAGUACCUUAAGGGUGGGGGAGAUUACAAAGUACAUUGAUCAGUUAGGGUGGGGCAGAAACAAAUCACAAUGGUGGAAUGUCAUCAGUUAAGGCUAUUUUUACUUCUUUUGUGGAUCUUCAGUUACUUCAGGCCAUCUGGAUGUAUACGUGCAAGUCACAGGGGAUGCGAUGGCUUGGCUUGGGCUCAGAGGCCUCACACCCAGUAGCUAAAAAUCAACUCAUAACUUAGAAACCGAUGUUAUUCAUAGAUUCCAGACAUUGUAUAGAAGAACGUUGUGAAACUCCCUGCCCUGUUCUGUUUCUCUCUUACCACUGGUGCAUGCAGCCCCUGUCACGUACCACCUACUUGCUCAAAUCAAUCACGACCCUUUCAUGUGAAAUCUUUAGUGCUGUGAGGAGCCCUUAAAAGGGACAGAAAUUGUGCAUUCGGGGAGCUCGGAUUUUAAGGCAGUAGCUUGCCGAUGCUGCCAGCUGAAUAAAGCCCUUCCUUCUACAACUCGGUGUCUGAGAGGUUUUGUCUGCGGCUCGUCCUGCUACAAGACUAGAAGAGUAGCAUAUUAUAUUCAGUAACUGUUUGCUGAAUACAUGAGGGAAUUGAGCUAAGUGUUUGGCCCAACACUGCACACACAAAGUGGCAGAGCUAGAAUUUGACCCAAGCAUAGUUUUGAAUCUGGAGGCUUUACCACCUCAC
rnacentral:lncRNA from 1 species